rnacentral:rRNA from 1 species
AACGAACGUUGGCGGCGUGGAUUAGGCAUGCAAGUCGGGGGAAUCCCAGCAAUGGGGGAACCGGCGUAAGGGGCAGUAAGGCAUGGGUACCUACCCUGAAGUUCGGGAUAGCCAUCAGAGAUGGUGGGUAAUACCGGAUGAUGUCGUGAGACCAAAGAUUUAUCGCUUUGGGAGGGGCCCAUGUGAUAUUAGCUAGUUGGUGUGGUAAUGGCUCACCAAGGCUAAGAUGUCUAGCGGGUAUGAGAGUACGACCCGCGCCACUCGCACUGAGACACUGGCGAGACACCUACGGGAGGCAG